GUGCAGCACGCACCUGACCGUGCUCGCGCCGCCCACCGACUCCGACGACGAGCUCAACCAGACCCGCGCGGCGCGCUAGUGGGCCCAGACGGAGUGCCCUCGGUGGUGCGACAGCUAUGAAAUGAUUUAGAGGGGUGAGCAAAAUAAAUUUUCAUUCUAUGUAUCCAGUAUUAUAAGAAAUCCACUCAUAUUAUAUUAUUAUUAGUGGUUUAUAAUUAUUAAUCAUAUAUUUGUAUUCCAUGUGAAUUUAUUAUUGUAUUAUGAUUAUACUUGGAAUUACGUGUAUAAGUAGAGGGGUUCAAGGCCUAAGUUAGUUUGUUUGUCACCACAAUAUGACGUGAUCGCGUCAGUCGAAAACUUAUUCAAACUAAUUUUGCGCAAGAGUAAAUAAUUAUAAUAUCUGAUGUAAAUUGGAUAGUCAAACAAUAAUUCCAUGUGUUCUACUUGGAAUUAUUGUAUCUUUGAAAUCAAUGUUUGUUAAUUGAGUUCAUUAACUGAUGACGUCAUAGCUCCCUUUUGCCAUAAAAAAUCGCGGUUGGACAGAUGUCAAUAAAUUAUGUCAAUUGAAUUAUGGUGUCAACUAAAUUUUAAUUUGUAGAUUCGAUUUUUUAGCAACAGUAUUGAAAUCUGAAAACUAUCCAGUAUACAUCAAUGUUUACUUUCGAAAAAAUAGUUUGGGUAGGAAGAUUUUUGUAUUGAUAUUUUCGAAGGAUUUACAAUAAAUACCCGUGAAUCCUUCCGCUGACGUCGAUAAUGACAUAUCUCGUAAAACGAAGAUUAACACCAAAAUGAACAUUCCAAAAUUUUUUGAUACUAUUGAAAGUAGAUUUUAAGUAACGAUUAAUGUAGAUUUUUUUUAUAAAAAAUAAAAAUGUUUAAAAUUACUAAAAAUAAACCGCUGUAGAACACGCCAGUUCAGACGAACACUGCCAUUGUUACACGUAGAGUUUUGCUAGCUUUCUCUACGUUUUGUACGGUCUUGGACUCCAUAAUGUUGAGAUAUGGUUGUGUUGUUUCUUGGAAUAUUUACUUUGUAUAUGUACUUGUAUUAGAACUUAGAUUUGAUUGUGACGUAAAGCACUGAAAACUUCAAGUGAUUUGAGAAUCAACGCGACGAAUAUACACCCGACGACGUAAUAUAAACCCUUAAAAGUCAGUUGUCGUCGUGUUUUCGAGUAUAUCGGUCUCUGUCACUCAUGCGGGUAUCUCGUUUUGAGUGAAAGGAAUGAAUAGACUGGAAAAUAAGAAACUUCGAAAUUUUUUAUGUAAAUUAUGACAUGUGAAAAUACCCGGUAAGCGUCAAAAAUAAUUACUAUAAUCAUAUUAAUGGCAAUCCAUAGUCAGUCUAAUGACUGCAACAAUAAAUCUAAAUCGAAUCACGAAUACAAACUAAUUCAUACCAUAUGUAUUACAUACGACUUAGUCUUACUAUAAUAAUAUAUCUAUUUAUGUAUGUCUAAGUAGAUGUCUUUCUUGCCAAAAUUUCCUCGUGGAAUAAUCGAAAUGCUUCAAUUGUCCAUAACAAUUUGAAUGAUAUAUUUAAUUUAUUUUGAAGCGAAAUUAUUUCAAGCACUGCGAUUUGGAUGUGAUGAACGGGUAUCCUCUUAUGAAGAGUCUAGUGUAAGGUAAUAUACAAGAAUUUAAGUAGCGAACAUAUUUUGAGAAAAUUAAAAUUAAUGUCGAUUCGAUACUUACGUAAUUUGUUUAUUUUAUUAUGAUUAUUUUUAUUGAAUGUUAAAUUAUCCAAUUUAUUGACGUCAAUGCAAAGCAUAAUGUUGUUUUCGAUUGAAUACUAAACGAUUUAUUGAUAAUUUUAACCUCAAAGGUAGUGUACACUUGAGCACGAUUUUUAAUUAUUAAUAAAAAAUUAUAGUAUAAAAAAACAAUUUUGAUCAGUGUUAUUUUUAAGAUUAACACCAAGAUGUCGUAAAUUUUUUAGAAGGCGUUACGUUUUCGAUUUAUAUCAAAAUAAUUAUCAUUUGGAAAUGUGUUCAAGUGGUCACUAAAACUCGUACAUUCUAUUAAACAUGUGAUAAGUUAUUAUUUGGCCAAAGUUUAUUUUAGUUGUUACAGCGCUAAGAGCACAAAUAUUAUUUUCAUGGUUUUAACUUUUACGCACUAACUGUCUUUGGAUGUUGAUUUUAUUUCAAUGUAUAUGAGUUUGGUGAACCGACGAUCUUUGGCAGUAAAGUGGUCAGAUUCUUGAAUAAAUGAAACUGUGCUUUUUGAAUGACAUGUAUUAAUUAGCUGUUUGUAUGGAUUCAUUCCACAAAUAAAUGUCGGUUCCCAGCUGCAUUUAGAAAGGAUAACGUUUGUAUAUAUUAUUGUACUUGUAAGGUAGAAAGUUAGGGCUCAGUGUAAGGGACACGCGUGCCGCGGUGGUCAACACUACGAUUCCUUUUGUUUUUAAGUAAAGUUCACUCUCCAUUUCUAGUCCUAUUUUGUAUUCGUUUUCCUCCCGACAUCACUAGCGUAUACGCAAAUGUAACUUGUCAUUUUUAUUAGUUAAUUUUAUUAUUGUAUCUUUUAUGUUUGUUAAGUGUGCUUCCUUUGUUGUAUUACUUUAGUGAAAUUCUUUAUUUAAUUUUUUAUUUAUAAUUGCAUCAUGCUUCGCUCAAUGAAUUUGUAUUAUUCAAUAUCUUAACUUGCAGCUGUGUGUGCAUGAAACACAGGACUGACAAGUAGAAACAAGCCAUUAGAUUUUUUAUUUUAUGUGUUUUUGUAAAAUUCUAAAAUCCGUAUUUGGUAUAAUAUAAAAAACAGCUUUAUUCUUUGAAGCAGCCAUUGAAAUUCGUUGAUAUGAGAAAAAAUAUUGCACCUUUUUCGAAAUUCACCUAAUUUCUCUAAGUUUGGU